rnacentral:rRNA from 1 species
GACAGAGGUGGCAAGCGUUGUUCGGAUUUACUGGGCGUAAAGAGAGCGUAGGCGGCCGUGUAUGUCGGGUGUGAAAUCUCUCGGCUUAACCGAGAAACUGCAUUCGAAACUGCACGGCUAGAGGACAGGAGGGGGAAGUGGAAUUCCCGGUGUAGCGGUGAAAUGCGUAGAGAUCAGGGAGAACACCGGUGGCGAAAGCGCUCUGCUGGACCUUAACUGACACUGAGGGACGAAAGCUAGGGGAGCGAAUGGG